CGGCUCCGUGAGUACCGCUCCCCCUGCCCCACUGCCCCGGCAGGGCCGCGGCUCCGUGAGUACCGCUCCCCCUGCCCCACUGCCCCGGCAGGGCCGCGGCUCCGUGAGUACCGCUCCCCCUGCCCCACUGCCCCGGCAGGGCCGCGGCUCCGUGAGUACCGCUCCCCCUGCCCCGCCGCCGGCACCGCGUGCCGCCGCCCGCCCCGCCCGGGCCGGGCCCUUCCCUGCGGCCGCUGAGCCGGUGCGGAGCGCCGACCCCGCCGCUCGGCGCCGAGGCGGGGAUCACCGCCCCGCCAGGCUCCCCAUGUCCCCACAGCCUGCUGGGGAACCUUGCUAACGAGAAAAAUAGAUAGAUUGUUUCCUUAUACCUAUCAAAUCUAUAUAAAUAUAUGUCUCUGUUGAGCUAGACCGGGGACUCGGAUGGCCGCGGACACCUCCCCGGCAGCCACGGCGCUGGAGCCGCGGUGACGCAGCGCCGGCGAUGCUCGCAGGUGCCACCCUGCUGCUACCGUUACCUGCGGACUGCAGUCCCCGCGUGGAAAUAAAAAAAUUCCCCUAAAAACGAUUUUAAUUUUAAUUAUACAACAGAGCUCAUUAAUAUAUUUAUAUAUAUAUAUAUUAAAAAAAAAAAGGCUGUACGCGCAGAGGGCGCUGGGGUAAUUCCGUAGCGAAGUGCCGAGUGGCGGUGCCGAAGCCCCGCACCGUCCCGCCCCGGCCGCGCAGGUUGGGGGGCACCGCGGGCCUCCCUCCCUGCGGCGGGCAGCGCUCCCGCCGCGCCGGGGAGCCCCGCCGGCUGCCGCACCCCCGGGGAGCGGGGAAUCCCCCACGCAGGCUCCUGCCGGACAGGGACUUGCUUUUGUUUGUCAUUGUUCUCAUUAUUUUCUCUGCGAAGAAGCAGGCGGUUUCACGCGGCGAUAUAAAGUUGGAUCGCCAAUAACCGGAAGUUAAAAUGCAAACGCUUCACUAGGAAGCGUUUCACGCAGCUGGUGCAAAAUCACUUUUAUUUUUUAUCUGCGGGAAGGAAAAACAGUUUUAUGAUUUUUUUUUCCUGUGAGAUAGCACUGUCAUCAAAAUACAGAUGCUUUUCCUACAUCAAUGAUUUUUCACUACAGCCUAAGGGCCUCUUGGCUUUAAAGCUCUAGUUAUUUUUGCUAAUAUAUCAAGAAUUUAACUCCUAACUAUUUCAUAAAUCAACUCCAGAUGCACUGUACAGUAUUUAUAUACUUAUUUUCAGAUGUACAUUCUGGCUCAGUAGAUUGCCAACUCACCAUUUCAAUGCUUCAAAGCGAUGAUGCUGGGAAUUGUCAGCUCUGAAGACAAGGUUAGCUCACAGGAGCAGAAUGUACUGUGUAAAAUGCUGAUUUAUGAAAGUGUUACAAUCCAUAUAUCUUGCAGGUCGAAUUGCAUGCAUUAUAUGAUCAGAAAUACACAGAGGAUUGAUCUGCCAGUGCUUAUUUUGAAGCAGAAUUCAUGUUGUCUCCAAAGGUGAGGGUGCCAGUGAUGUACUGGGGCAGAAGCUAGAAGGUGCAUCUUUCAACCCACCCCAGCCUGGAGAAGCUGUGGCAAAGCACUCCUGUACCCUGAUAACAAACCCCCAUAGCCUAACCCUCACCCCAGCAUUGCUGGGAGCAGUGAGCACCCUGCCCUGCCCAGGAUGAAAAAUAUCUCUUGUGAGCCAAUAGAUGCCCUACUUAUUUUUAAAAAUCUUUUCUCACUUUGAUGGACUCCUGACCAGCAGAUGACACAUCCUCAGGCCUAUGAGCUGCUGAGGGUGUUGCUUUCCCAUAAACAGUUGCUCUCUGAGAAGCCUCAGUAGCCUCUGCAGCCAAGGGGACUCUGGGGGGCUCUGGCAGGCUCCAUUUUGCCAUCCUCCUGCCAGCCUGUGGGUAGUCUUUCCAAUUGUAGGUAAACCUGUGGUGCUCAUAUGAAGGUGAUAUCCAGCUCCAAGUUUGCAGUUAAUCAAGUCUACUCAGUGAAGUUGAACAAUUUAAUCAGUGCGUGAUGAAGCCUUGGAUGUAUCUGAGCUGUAUCACGUUAUCUUCACAUCUAAAGCAAUCGUCAGAGAUUAGAUGGGGGGAACUAACGACAUAGUGGUAGUUCCUGCCCUGAUCCUGUGCAGUCACAUCACGGUACAGCAGUGUGAGCACAGCAGCCUGUUCUGUGUGUGGUCAUUGCACGGCCAAGGCCGUGGUAAGUCUCCUAUUCCCGGGACGCUGUCAUGCUGUUUAGUAACCAGAUUACAGCUUGGGUACGCAUUACUUAGCAACCCUUGCCAGGAAUGCUUUUCGUCUGCCUGGUGAGAAGGCUGGGACUCUUCCUUCAGGGGCACUAUCAGAUAAGUGUCCUGUCGCUUGUGCGCAGAGUUUUUGUGAUACGGUGGCAGGGCGAUGGGAGCUGAAGGCCACUUAGAUGUGGCACCGAAUGGCACUGUGUGACUUGGCCCUGUUUCUUGCAGAAAACACACUCCACCCAUGUUUCAUGCCCUGCCCAGCCUGCUGCUUCAUCUCCGGGUGCAGAGGAAGGAGGUUGUUUUUGGCUAAGGUGCUACUGUCUUGGGACCUGGUUAUUUUAUAUAGUUUCUUUCCAGUUCCAGGCAGCUGUAGAAGUAAGAAAGUACUUUAAACUAGUAGAAGAUUUUUCACACCUGCUGUCUUUAUGAAGCGCCGUCUUGCUUUUCCGCUGGUCUGACACAUGACUGCAAACCUGGCUCGAUCGGGAGCCUCCGUGUCCACCUACGCUGGAAGGCACAUCCGGACGGCCGGAGGCGUUGCCGGCUGCCGGCGGUGAUGGCACAGCCCCGCUUGUGCGGCAGCUCCAGGCCUUGCCAGGGCACGUCAGUAUUUCUUGUCCCUCGCUUUCGGGGUGUCUUCCCAGUGUGGGGAACCCCCAAAGCCGGCCAAACCCUCCCGCGGGCGAGGAGCGCACCCCGCGCCGGCGGGGCGGGGCGGGGCGGUGAGGGGCGCCGGGCUCAGCGCCGCCGGGAGCUGCUGAAGUGAGAACUUGAAAGGAGCCGUCGGUGGCGAGAAGAGGCGGACAAAGCAAGCGCCGGGCUACCGAAAGCGGCGCUCUGCCGGCGAGUUUUAAGGCGCUUCAAGUCUAAAGGAGAAGUGACAGGGCAAUCAUCUCCCCGGCUUGGCUGCGGAUGGGAGGGUGGAAUCUUGCUAACAGCUCGCGUAUCUGUAUAUUUAAUUGCGACCUGGCUGCAUGUUCCUGUUGAGGAAGGAUGCAAUCACAAGCGAAUCUAUAAAAACGCAGUUGACAAGCCAAGGAAAGGGAUAACUGACAGAUGAAACGACAGUCAGCGCGGAGCUAACUGGCAAACGCAUCGGUACAAAGUCAGAUACCUUCUGAGAGGAGUAGUAGUUUGUUUUAUUCCGGUUCUCCAGAGUUUUAUCUACUGUCGGUGUGAUGGGGUAGAGAGGAGCUAAUGUGCCCUUUUUAGGAUACACACAUGCAGAUUAGAUCAGGCUUCAGACACCACGUUUCACUCAAGACUUAGAACAGUUAGAGGAAUAAACCAGGCUUCACCCACCUAGGAAAACAUGGAAUUUUCUUUUAAUGAUUUAAAGGUGAUUUACACUUGUUUAAACACAACCGUUUCACAUACGGAUAUAGGGAGCUAUCGGGAGUUGAUGGGGUCGGGAGCUGGGGCCCGGAGCUCGCCGCCGCCGUGAUGCGAGGCUGGGGCGCUGGGAAUACCAGCAUUUUCUUCACUUUUGUGUUACUUUAAGUUUUCAAUGAGGCUAGUGUAAUUACGAGGCGUUUAACUUUUUGCCAGGCUCUUUCAUUAUGGCUUUGCAUUUGCACCUCGCUUUUAAGAGAAGUAAUAACAUUCACAGUCAGGGGCAAAUCCUGUUAAUGAACAAAUUAAAGUUCAAACAGUUAUUCAA